AUGGGCUAUUAGCUCAGGUGGUUAGAGCGCACCCCUGAUAAGGGUGAGGUCCCUGGUUCAAGUCCAGGAUAGCCCACCU
rnacentral:tRNA from 1 species